rnacentral:rRNA from 7 species
CGCAAGCCUGACGGAGCAAGACCGCGUGGGGGAGGAAGGCUCUUGGGUUGUAAACCCCUUUUCUCAGGGAAGAACCAAAUGACGGUACCUGAGGAAUCAGCCUCGGCUAACUCCGUGCCAGCAGCCGCGGUAAUACGGAGGAGGCAAGCGUUAUCCGGAAUGAUUGGGCGUAAAGCGUUCGUAGGUGGCUAUUCAAGUCUGCUGUCAAAGACAGAAGCUCAACUUCUGAAAGGCAGUGGAAACUGAGUAGCUGGAGUGCGGUAGGGGCAGAGGGAAUUCCCGGUGUAGCGGUGAAAUGCGUAGAGAUCGGGAAGAACACCGGUGGCGAAAGCGCUCUGCUGGGCCGCAACUGACACUGAGGGACGAAAGCUAGGGGAGCG